rnacentral:rRNA from 1 species
CUUGGCGGCUAUAGUGCGAUGGACCCACCUGAUACCAUGCCGAACUCAGUAGUGAAACGUCGUAAACGCCGAUGGUAGUGUGGGGUAUCCCCAUGCGAGAGUAGGACACCGCCAGGC